AGGAGAGGCACUGAUUUUUGGCAUUGGAUGAAUGGGUCGGCAACCAGCAUUUCUUGCUGAUUUUAGCUAUUAGUCUUUUUAACUUGACUCAAACAAGCUAAUAUGUACAGAGCAUUUACUAGAUGUCUACAAAUUAUGCUGGGCACCCAGGGGACAUCUGCUAAUCCCAUUCUUCCUGUAAUUGCUCCACAGCAGGUAUUACCCUCAGAGCAAGUGAAAGAAUCUCAGAAUUAUAAGGAAACUAG
rnacentral:lncRNA from 1 species